CGUGGACCCGUUACCCGGGUUGCGGACAGUGUCUGGUGGGUAGUUUGACUGGGGCGGUCUCCUCCUAAAGAGUAACGGAGGAGCACGAAGGUUGGCUAAUCCUGGUCGGACAUCAGGAGGUUAGUGCAAUGGCAUAAGCCAGCUUGACUGCGAGCGUGACGGCGCGAGCAGGUGCGAAAGCAGGUCAUAGUGAUCCGGUGGUUCUGAAUGGAAGGGCCAUCGCUCAACGGAUAAAAGGUACUCCGGGGAUAACAGGCUGAUACCGCCCAAGAGUUCAUAUCGACGGCGGUGUUUGGCACCUCGAUGUCGGCUCAUCACAUCCUGGGGCUGAAGUAGGUCCCAAGGGUAUGGCUGUUCGCCAUUUAAAGUGGUACGCGAGCUGGGUUUAGAACGUCGUGAGACAGUUCGGUCCCUAUCUGCCGUGGGCGCUGGAGAACUGAGGGGGGCUGCUCCUAGUACGAGAGGACCGGAGUGGACGCAUCACUGGUGUUCGGGUUGUCAUGCCAAUGGCACUGCCCGGUAGCUAAAUGCGGAAGAGAUAAGUGCUGAAAGCAUCUAAGCACGAAACUUGCCCCGA
rnacentral:rRNA from 1 species